CGGCAGCGCGGGAGCAAUCCUGGCGGCGAGUGGCGAACGGGUGAGUAAUAUAUCGGAACGUGCCCAGUAGUGGGGGAUAGCCCGGCGAAAGCCGGAUUAAUACCGCAUACGACCUGAGGGUGAAAGCGGGGGAUCGCAAGACCUCGCGCUACUGGAGCGGCCGAUAUCAGAUUAGCUAGUUGGUGGGGUAAAGGCCUACCAAGGCAACGAUCUGUAGUUGGUCUGAGAGGACGACCAGCCACACUGGGACUGAGACACGGCCCAGACUCCUACGGGAGGCAGCAGUGGGGAAUUUUGGACAAUGGGCGCAAGCCUGAUCCAGCAAUGCCGCGUGCAGGAAGAAGGCCUUCGGGUUGUAAACUGCUUUUGUCAGGGAAGAAAUCUUCUGGGCUAAUACCCCGGGAGGAUGACGGUACCUGAAGAAUAAGCACCGGCUAACUACGUGCCAGCAGCCGCGGUAAUACGUAGGGUGCGAGCGUUAAUCGGAAUUACUGGGCGUAAAGCGUGCGCAGGCGGCUUUGCAAGACAGAGGUGAAAUCCCCGGGCUCAACCUGGGAACUGCCUUUGUGACUGCAAGGCUAGAGUACGGCAGAGGGGGAUGGAUUCCGCGUGUAGCAGU
rnacentral:rRNA from 1 species